UGGGGAAUAUUGGACAAUGGGCGAAAGCCUGAUCCAGCCAUGCCGCGUGUGUGAAGAAGGUCUUCGGAUUGUAAAGCACUUUAAGUUGGGAGGAAGGGCAUUAACCUAAUACGUUAGUGUUUUGACGUUACCGACAGAAUAAGCACCGGCUAACUCAGUGCCAGCAGCCGCGGUAAUACAGAGGGUGCAAGCGUUAAUCGGAAUUACUGGGCGUAAAGCGCGCGUAGGUGGUUUGUUAAGUUGGAUGUGAAAUCCCCGGGCUCAACCUGGGAACUGCAUUCAAAACUGACUGACUAGAGUAUGGUAGAGGGUGGUGGAAUUUCCUGUGUAGCGGUGAAAUGCGUAGAUAUAGGAAGGAACACCAGUGGCGAAGGCGACCACCUGGACUAAUACUGACACUGAGGUGCGAAAGCGUGGGGAGCAAACA
rnacentral:rRNA from 1 species